UUUAAGGUUAUGUUGCUAUCUGUCACCCAUUCUGUCACCUUGCGUGUGCUUCGAAUCGUCUAGUUUAUCGUAGUUUCGUGCCUUUUUAUCAAGCUUCUCAAUUCCACAAACCAAACUGUUCUUUUCAGAACAACUUUUUGUCGUACUGUGAAGCCUUAUUUAUUACGAUGACGAAGAAUUUGGAUAGCACUACUAAAAAAAUGGUAGCGUCUUUAAUUCUGAAUUUUGAACAAGAGCGUGACCAUGGAGGCCCCUUGUUACCUUUGCCGGCAGUAAGAGAGAGAGUGGCACAAGUUUUAAGUAUCAGUAUCUCCACGGUCAGUACCAUAUCAGCGGCAGUGAAGAAGAAUGAAGUGUUGAAAUCGCCUUCAAAGAAUCGUCAUCGCCUUAAGCCUGUGACAAAUGUAUCUAAUUUAAACGUCGAUGGUAUUAGAAACACAAUUUAUAAAAUGUACGAAAACAAAGUGCAUGUUACAUUGGCAUCUGUGCAUGAACAGCUUCGUGAAAAAGUCAUUUUUCAUGGUUCAUUGGCAUCAUUGCGAACAGUGCUAAAAGAAAUUGAAUUUACCUAAAUGGAAACAAAACGAGCCCAGGCGAGGUCAAAUGGAACUACCCCAUGUGGCAAGUAAAAGAAUUCGUUUUCUGCGCCAAUACAAAGAUUUCAAGGAAAAAGAUUUGUACCAAUUUGUUUUUCUUGAUGAAACGUUGAUAUUCCAAAAUGGCACUAUACAACGCUCAUGGCAAGAUAGUAAUGGAAGAAGUGUGAAAACUAUCAAAACUGAUGGAAAGCGACAAAUAAUUCUGCAUGCUGGAAAUGAGAAAGGAUUCAUACCUUCAAGUGGUGAUUAUCACGGAGAAAUGAAGCAGACGAAUUUCUUACAUUGGUUUCAAAAUCAAUUGCUUCCAAAUUUAAGUGAACCGUCUGUCAUUAAUUUCCAGAAUUAAACCAGAAAAAACAUAUUUUGUGGACCAAUUAGCGGAACAAUAUGGUCAUAAAGUGUUGCGCCUUCCACCCUACCGUUGUAUUUUUAACCCUAUAGAUUUAAUAUGGGGUAUAACAAAAACUUAUUAUAAUAAACAUAUUGGCAGAGAUGGGAGAACAGAGGCUGAUUGUUUAAAUAUGUGGCAAGAAGCAAUUAAUGUCGUGACACCAGAUAUGUGGAAAAAUUCAAUCAAACACACUGAAGGUGAAAUAAUGAAAUGGUAUGAAAGAGAAAAAAUGUUAGAUAUGCAAGAUAUACUGCCAAUUAUAAUAAAUUUAGGGGAAGAUAGUGAGAGUGACA